rnacentral:rRNA from 1 species
CCUACGGGAGGCAGCAGUGGGGAAUAUUGCACAAUGGGCGCAAGCCUGAUGCAGCCAUGCCGCGUGUAUGAAGAAGGCCUUCGGGUUGUAAAGUACUUUCAGCGGGGAGGAAGGCGAUAAGGUUAAUAACCUUGUCAAUUGACGUUACCCGCAGAAGAAGCACCGGCUAACUCCGUGCCAGCAGCCGCGGUAAUACGGAGGGUGCAAGCGUUAAUCGGAAUUACUGGGCGUAAAGCGCACGCAGGCGGUCUGUCAAGUCGGAUGUGAAAUCCCCGGGCUCAACCUGGGAACUGCAUUCGAAACUGGCAGGCUAGAGUCUUGUAGAGGGGGGUAGAAUUCCAGGUGUAGCGGUGAAAUGCGUAGAGAUCUGGAGGAAUACCGGUGGCGAAGGCGGCCCCCUGGACAAAGACUGACGCUCAGGUGCGAAAGCGUGGGGAGCAAACAGGAUUAGAUACCCGCGUAGUC